AGACAAAAAUGCAUUCUGCAAAAUAGGAAAAUAACUCACAAAGCACAAGGACACAAGGCUGGGCACAGCGACUGGGAGAUCAAUUGGUGUUACUCUAAGCCAACAGAACAAUGAAGAUGCAUUGAAAAGGUCGCUCCAUCAUCUCAAGAACACUUCCUACAGUUCAGCCUGUGUGACAGACUUCUUUUCAUCCCUUGGUUUCUCUCGACUCGCCCCCUCUCUUUGGCAGUUUCUCCUUUUUGACAAGGUCGAGGCCCUUGCCAUGCUUGGAGCUGCUUAAGCCGGUGGCUCGUUGCUGGAUGGAUUGCAGCGAGUUUCUUUGUCCCAUCAGUGAUGACCUUCAGAGGGAUUCUGAUGCAGUAGGAUGUCACCCAGCUUGGCAGCACCAGACGGACCGCUGCAAAGGCAAGGACACAAGUACCACAAAUAGAUCACCCAAACAAACAGCCAAUUUUUCUUGAAGUGAAAUGGGACUGAAAAUGUAUUAUGUGCCAAUGCAGCUCUGGGUCAUUUUCCCAGUAAGCUUUUGCAUGUGGACAAUUGUUAUGAACACAAGUCUCAUAGUUGUUUUUUUUUUUUUUUUUUUAAAAAAA